CAUGAGCGCCCUUUCUCCACUGCAUCUGCCUCCCUCUGCUCUUUCCCUUUGGAGGUGCUGCGCUCUAGCUCUGAUCCGAGCUCGCCCCUUCACUGCUCCUCAUGCCAUCGCUGCUUUUCCCCAUGGCUGAAACUAGCUCGCCCCCAUGGUACUCGUGCCCUCCUUUGCCAGCGCCUCCCUCAGUUCAUCUCUGUGUCAGCACUGUCGGGACAUCUCACCUAUUUUCCCUCCCCUAGCUGAACGCCCCUUGAUGUUCUCCUCAACGCCCCUUUGCUGUUCGACGGAAUGCCCAUGGAAAAUAUUGUGUUGUGCGCAGCCCCAUCCGCAACGCUGUUGAAACCCGUGGUGAGAAACCCCCCGCUGUCCUCGCUGUUUAUUUUUCUGAUGUGUGUGAUGUCCGAUGAACUGCCGCCAACAAAUUUGUGUGUUUUCGUAGCUAGUGGUCGACGUCGCGCUUCGAGCUUUGCCCGUUCGAUGAAAUGCCGAGCCAUGUGGACAGCCCAUGCGACUACUCCCGACUCGUUCAGGUUGAAUCCAUGUGAUUAAUUUACUUGCAAAUUUGUCAUUGUCAUGUAUAUAUAUGUGUGUGAAUAUGUUGUGUGCAAAUUGAAAUUCAUGGAGGAGAAAGUGGUACGUGUAGGUGAGUUUGCAAUUGGAAUGCCAACAAGUGUAU
rnacentral:lncRNA from 1 species